rnacentral:rRNA from 1 species
UACGGGGGGAGCAAGCGUUGUUCGGAUUUACUGGGCGUAAAGGGCGCGUAGGCGGUCAGCACAAGUCAGUUGUGAAAUCUCCGGGCUUAACUCGGAAAGGUCAACUGAUACUGUGCGACUAGAGUGCGGAAGGGGCAACUGGAAUUCUCGGUGUAGCGGUGAAAUUCGUAGAUAUUCGCAAGAACACCAGUGGCGAAGGCGGCUCACUGGCCCGGUACUGACGCUGAGGCACGAAAGCGUGGGGAGCAAACAGG